rnacentral:rRNA from 1 species
UGAGGAAUAUUGGUCAAUGGGCGAGAGCCUGAACCAGCCAAGUAGCGUGCAGGAUGACGGCCCUAUGGGUUGUAAACUGCUUUUAUAUGGGAAUAAAGUGAGGGACGUGUCCCUUAUUGCAUGUACCAUACGAAUAAGGACCGGCUAAUUCCGUGCCAGCAGCCGCGGUAAUACGGAAGGUCCAGGCGUUAUCCGGAUUUAUUGGGUUUAAAGGGAGCGUAGGCUGUCUAUUAAGCGUGUUGUGAAAUAUACCGGCUCAACCGGUGGCUUGCAGCGCGAACUGGUCGACUUGAGUAUGCAGGAAGUAGGCGGAAUUCAUGGUGUAGCGGUGAAAUGCUUAGAUAUCAUGACGAACUCCGAUUGCGCAGGCAGCUUACUGUAGCAUAACUGACGCUGAUGCUCGAAAGUGCGGGUAUCAAACAGG